GGGUUAAGUCCCGCGACGAGCGCAACCCUUGUCAUUAGUUGCUACAUUUAGUUGGGCACUCUAAUGAGACUGCCGGUGACAAACCGGAGGAAGGUGGGGAUGACGUCAAGUCCUCAUGGCCCUUAUAGGUAGGGCUACACACGUCAUACAAUGGCUGAUACAAAGGGUCGCCAACCCGCGAGGGGGAGCUAAUCCCAUAAAACCAGUCGUAGUCCGGAUCGCAGUCUGCAACUCGACUGCGUGAAGUCGGAAUCGCUAGUAAUCGUGGAUCAGAAUGUCACGGUGAAUA
rnacentral:rRNA from 1 species